GAUGAACGCUGACAGAAUGCUUAACACAUGCAAGUCUUUGGCGAAGCUGCGCUUGCACAGCCUAGCUAAGGCGGCCGGGUGAGUAACGCGUAAGGAACUUGCCCUGCAGUCAGGGAUAACAGACGGAAACGACUGAUAAGACCUGGUAAAGUCAGGCGGACUCAUGUCCAGUCUGAUGAAAAGGGAUGGUGCUGGGGUGACUUGCCGCCUAAUAGCUUGUUGGUGGGGUAACGGCCCACCAAGGGCAUGGUAGGUAGCCGGGCUGAGAGGGUGGACGGGCACAAGGGGAGUGAGAGACGGCACUUACACGGACGGGAGGCAGCGGUGGUGAAUAUUGGACAAUGGAAGCAACACUGAGCCAGCAAGUCUGUGUGAAGGAUGAAGGUUUUCGGAUUGUAAAGUGCGUUCAGCACGGAAGAAAAUAAUGACGGUACCUGCAGAAGAAGCGACGGCUAAAUACGUG
rnacentral:rRNA from 1 species